rnacentral:rRNA from 1 species
UUGAACGCUGGCGGCAGGCCUAACCCAUGCAAGUCGAGCGGAUGACGGGAGCUUGCUCCUUGAUUCAGCGGCGGACGGGUGAGUAAUGCCUAGGAAUCUGCCUGGUAGUGGGGGACAACGUUUCGAAAGGAACGCUAAUACCGCAUACGUCCUACGGGAGAAAGCAGGGGACCUUCGGGCCUUGCGCUAUCAGAUGAGCCUAGGUCGGAUUAGCUUGUUGGUGAGGUAAUGGCUCACCAAGGCGACGAUCCGUAACUGGUCUGAGAGGAUGAUCAGUCACACUGGAACUGAGACACGGUCCAGACUCCUACGGGAGGCAGCAGUGGGGAAUAUUGGACAAUGGGCGAAAGCCUGAUCCAGCCAUGCCGCGUGUGUGAAGAAGGUCUUCGGAUUGUAAAGCACUUUAAGUUGGGAGGAAGGGUUGUAGAUUAAUACUCUGCAAUUUUGACGUUACCGACAGAAUAAGCACCGGCUAACUCUGUG